CAGAACCUUACCAGCCCUUGACAUCCCGGUCGCGGACACCAGAGAUGGAGUCUUUCAGUUCGGCUGGACCGGAGACAGGUGCUGCAUGGCUGUCGUCAGCUCGUGUCGUGAGAUGUUGGGUUAAGUCCCGCAACGAGCGCAACCCUCGCCCUUAGUUGCCAUCAUUAAGUUGGGCACUCUAAGGGGACUGCCGGUGAUAAGCCGCGAGGAAGGUGGGGAUGACGUCAAGUCCUCAUGGCCCUUACGGGCUGGGCUACACACGUGCUACAAUGGCGGUGACAGUGGGAUGCAAUGGAGUGAUCCUGCGCAAAUCUCAAAAAGCCGUCUCAGUUCGGAUUGUGCUCUGCAACUCGAGCACAUGAAGUUGGAAUCGCUAGUAAUCGCAGAUCAGCACGCUGCGGUGAAUACGUUCCCGGGCCUUGUACACACCGCCCGUCACACCAUGGGAGUUGGAUUUACCUUAAGACGGUCCGCCAACCGCAAGGGGGCAGCCGGCCACCGGUAGGUUCAGCGACUGGGGUGAAGUCGUAACAAGGUAGCCGUA
rnacentral:rRNA from 1 species